GCAGAUAUUGGGCCCGUGGAGGCGUCGCCGCGCCUGCGCCCUGCGUCCCCUGAGCACGCGCCUCUGGGGCGGAAGUGCUGCUCCCACAUCCGGCGAGCAGGCGCCUCUGGGAAACUCUGAGGCGUGGAAAAGUGGUUGCUGGUUUGCCGCUUGAGGACCGGAAGACGCGGGCCGAGAAGAGCCUGGCAUCAUCUUAAUGUCAGGAUUGUAUGGGAAAUGAAAACAAGGAGAAAUAACAGACAUUUAUGCCAACAAACGUAAUGAAAGAAGACAAUCACUGCACGUGUUCCAGAAAUUCUUCCAACUAAGAAAAUGACAAACCUAAGUAUGAGUCCAGGUAGUCUCUACCGAAGGAGUUGGCCAGGCAUGUCUGAACCACACAAACAGCUGGUGAUGGAGCCAAGGGCUCAUGAAAUCGCAAUGCAAAGUAUAUGGAGUAAGAAGAGCAUCAGGCCUGAGGCUGAUAUCUGAGAAAUGACAACAUUCAAGGAAUGCAAUUCAGAGAGGCUCAAGAAUUUCUGCUCAUCACCAGCCUCUGUUAAUCCUGUGGGAAUGGUUUCCUAAUAUCUUCUUAAAGCUCAAGGCUAUUUUGAUUUCAGUAUUUAGGAGAAGUGUGUUUCCACGAUGAGCAAGCAUUACACCUGCAAUCAGAGAAAGUUACAUUAAGUCGUUAAUAUAUGUGCAGCUUAGAGAUACACACCAUGGAGUGAAAUUAUAAAGGAAUGAGGAAGAAUGAUAUCCUGACAUCAGGAUAAAGUUACUGUUGGGAUAAGGAAGGAGACGGGAUGGAGAAAAAGACAUGAAGACUCCAACUAUAUGGGUGAAUAUUCCUGAGGACGUAGAAAUGUUCAGCCAGUACUGUGCAUCGUCCCAUAUGAGAGUAUUUAAUACUUAAACAAGAAGAUGGGAAGACUGAACCAUUUGAAAGGACCAAGUGAGGCCACCUGUCAUCAAGAGCUACGAAGCUUAGCCUUUAUUUCGUGGAUUUGCCUCUUUAAUUUUCAGUUGUCCAUAGGCUUCCCAAGGACUGACACGAUGACUCUUUUGCUUUGUAACAAAUCUGAAGAAGGUACAUGUUCACCCAAAGUACGUGAUCCCAAAGAAUAAUGAUCCAAAGAUCCAGAGUUAGCAGUGUAUAUUUAGCACUGUCCAGAGAAGAAGUCGAAUAGGUAAGAAUAUUCUGUUCACUCAAGAGGUAGUCUCUAUUGUAGUUGAUAAGUACAGAUAAUUGUGAGUGAAAUAUCUCUGAAAACUGUCCUUCUCUCUUUGGUUUGCCAAAUAAACAACUAUUUCCUAGAUAUCUUCAUAUAAGGAAUGGAGAGUCCUGGGUGGAGAAGACCCAAUCUGUGGUCACUGGAAAAAUGUAUCAACUAUUCUAAGUCAAUAAAUUUACAUUUUAGUUUGUAGAUUAACUCUCUUAUAGGGGUGAUUGGGGAAGAUAAAAUCUCUAAAUCUAAUUAACUUUGUGUACAUGAACAAAAUUUAAUUUUUGGACUUCUCCGAUGACGACGUCAAGGUACCAUCUUUCUUUUAUUUUUCAAAAUUAUAAAACUCCCACAUAGAUUUUUUUCGUACCCACAGCAUAUGGAAGUUCCAAAGCUAGGGGUCAAAUCACAGCAACACGGGAUCCAAGUAGUGUUGGUGACCUACACCACAACUCAUGGCAACGCCAGAUCCCCAACCCACUGAGCGAGGCCAGGGAUCAAACCCAUAUCCUCGUGGAUACUAGUAGGAUUCGUUUCCACUGUGCCACAACAGGAACUCCCUCAUUUCAUUUCGAUACGACUUUUGGCUGAGGGAAAUUUUAUGCUCUUGACCUGAUUUAAACUAAUAUUUUCCUUCUUUCUGUUGCCAGUAAAAUAUUGUUACACUCAACUUUUCUCAAGAGAAAGAUGUUCUGUAUUUCUUCAUAGUAGGCUACAACGCUAAAGGGAAAAGGGGGUACCUUUUGACCUGAUGACUCUUUUUCUGGAAAAUACACAGAAUACUGUGAAUAAAUAAACUAUUAGGAUCUUUUAGGAUUAAGUUACAUUACUUUAAUAGAGAAGAACCCUACACAGAUGUGGAAUUUAUGAGAAAUGAUGUAUUUUCUGGUAAUGACCCAUGUUGAUUUGGCAGUUGUUUAAAUAUUAUGUCAACCAAUUAUAUUUAAGAUCUCAAACAGAUUGGAGAGAUAGUCCCAGAAAAAAAGGUAAUAUCAAGGGCAAGUAAAAUUAUUUUCUGAAAGCUUCUGCUGCUUGACCUGAGUCUUAUAAAAUUCAAAACAAAUAUGAAUAAACUCAAAUUUUGUCAAACCAGGAUGUUGAAUAAUUUUAACCAGGCCACUUGACCCAGUAAAAAUGCUGUUUUCUUGCACAUAUUUUCUGUUAGAUUAGGAAACUGUGUUGUGUUAAAAUGAACAGGUUAACACUCCUUUAUGUAAAACCCUUGGGUUAGAUAUGUUUUGAAACUCCAAAAUUUUAAGAUUUUAGAAAGGUAAUGUUACGUGUUUGCCGCAUAUUGAGUGUGGUAUCAGUAAACGGCUCUUAGGAAAAAAGAGAGAGAGUGUGUGUGUGUGUGUAAGUUUCUUAUGACUUGUACUGUUGAACAAUGUAUAAUACAAAAUUACAAAUAAGAAAAUAUAUAGUACUUUUUACUGUGGCUAUAUAUAUCCAAUCAGUUUUCAUAGAAUGCUUUAAUUGAAUUUUUGCCUAACUCUUAUAUCCAUAGUUAAACGAUGGUUACAAUUGAUAAAGGAAUGUAAUUCCGUCAUGAAGGUUGGUGGAUAUUUUCCUUAAUUCUUGCAUCUUUUGAGGGGGGCUUAUUAACCCUUCUUUCUAGCUUCUUUAAUUGAAUGUGUUCAUUUGAGUUCAUAUGUAUAUAUGUAUAUAUACACAAAUAGAUAUAGACAUACAAAUAUAUACAUAUACACACACAUACAGACAUACAGACAUAUACACACGUGUAUGUAUUAUUAAAUGAAUUUCAGGCUGUACAUUUAUUUCUAGGUCCUACUGUAGGUGUUAACUAACUUUAUUAUGGUAAUCAUUUCACAAUAUACACAUCCCUAUAAAUUUUAUAUUGUACUGUCAUUAUUAUCUAGUUUUCAUUUUGACUCUCAGAAGGGUUAGAUUAAGUUGUUUCUUAAUUUAAAAAAAAAAUUGUGUAUGGACACUACUUUAGGAUCCAUUAAACCUCUACAAAUUUCCCACCCUAUAUUUAUGUAUUCCAACAUUUUUGAAUUUUAAAUAUUUGCAAAAUAUUUGUUUUCUUUCGAUUGACAAAUACAUUUGGGAAGAAAGAGUUAAAAGAAUGUUGAAACAAGCCUCCUUAAAGCAGGACUAAUAUGCUAAUAAUGCAUUGCAUAUCUAUAAAAAGGAGAGACACUAUGUGACUUUUCCUAAAACAAUUUGACUACAUAUUUUUGUUUGCUGAAAUACUUCUGUCUCAUGGAAUAAUCUAGAAAUGUCUCACUAUUCUCUAUUAGUUGGUGCCAAUAUCAUUAAUUUUACCCGUAAUCAUUAGUACCAUAUUAGGCAGGGUUGUUAAUUGCAAAUAACAGAAGUCACUCUGAACACGUUCAUUAAAAGAUAAUAAGCAACCCAAGGAAUCUCCAGAAAACCAGAGAAUCAACUUUAGAGGUUGGCACCAGAAACAAUACCCAGAUCACAUCCAUGAAUUGCUUUUUGGAACCACUAAAAUGGCAGUAAAGUCGGACUUUUUUAAUAAGUCUGCAACUGACACAAGUGUCAGGUGAAAAGACCACCAGCAUCACAGAGAGCAAGUGAAUGACUCAAUGAGAACAUGAAAUAAGUGCUGCAACAAAACAUUGAAAACAGAAGUUCUCUAAUUUUAAAGAAACUGUUAUAGUGGGAGUUCCUAUUGUGGCUUAGUGGUUUAAGAACUCAACUAGUAUCCAUGAGGAUGCAGCUUCGAUCCCUGGCCUCACUCAGUGGGUUAAAGGUCCGGUGCUGCUGUGGGCCAUGGUAUAGGUCGCAGACGUAACUUGGAUCCUGAGUUGCUGUGGCUGUGAUGUAUGCUGGCAGCUGCAGCUCCAAUUAGACCCCUAACCUGGGAAAUUCUAUAUGCCACGGAUGCGGCAAGAAAAGAAAGAAGGAUGGAAGGAAGGAAGGAUGGAAGGAAAAAAAAGAGAAGAAAAGAAAAAAAGUGAUAUACUACAACAUAGAUUGCAGAUCUAGGGUGUGUAUUGCCAAGUAUACCCCAAACAUGACUUCAAAAGAAAACUUAUUGCUAGGCAUAUAGUUAUAAAUUACAGUGUAAUGUUGCCAGAAAUACAAGCAAGCCUAGUUUAAUCUGAAAUAAAAUUGAGUGAUUUAAACAUUGACAUGUAUUAAUAUGUGUUGUACCUUAAGGAGUGCCAAGAUUUGUUGUUUAAAUUUUUAAAAACACUUCUGUCCAAAAUGGUUCCUAGCAUUUUUUCUUAUUUCUGCAUUUAUUUUGAGCUCUAGAAUAUCUACUUCAAAGUUCCCAUUUUGAAAAAUGGCAAUAAAGCAUUAAAAACUUCACAAAGAUACCUUUAAAUUCACUAUAAGAUGUUAUUGACUAGUUUUAGGGUUCAUACAACAAAUAUAAGAAUUUAUUUAAAAUAGCCCAUUGUGGAUUUAAGUAACUUAAAAUUACAAACUCUCCUAAUAUUUGUAAAUGAAAUUAAACAUGCCAUUAGCAACUCUACGUUGUAUAGGCCACUAAAAUCUCAACAAAGUUUGUGAUGAUAACCUAACAGGUGAUGCCACAUCCACACACGGAACUUCAGCCCAGUGACUCCUUGAAAGACAACUGUUUACUACCACCUAGAUGAAGCAAGUCCUAAGAACUCAAAAGAGAUAAACUCUUUACUUUUUUUAGAGAAAAAUAGCUGAGUUGACUAAUACUUUCGUAGGAAGCAAACCACUUUUUGAUGCAUGGCUCUGGUCUAAAUCUUGUCAACUGAUCAGAGAACUGCUGUACAUGGUUUCCUGUGCUUAACAGGUCCCUUCUCCAUGAUACUGACAACUUACUUGGCUUUGCUUGCUUGCUUUUUCUUUUCUUUUCUUUCUUUCUUUUUUUUUUUUUUUUUUUGGUCUUUUUAGGGCCAC